rnacentral:snoRNA from 1 species
UUGCGAUGAUGAUUAUUGAAACCUCCAUUCGCAGUCUUAACCAGAUGCCUUUUGGCACAUGGCGGCAACUUCCUUCCUUGGAUGUCUGAGCGA